UAAUCACAGAGGCUGCCAGAGUUCGUCUCC
rnacentral:piRNA from 1 species